GUGGUAUUAGCUCAGUGGUAGAGCGCUGGUCUGUGGCACCAGAGGCCGCCGGUUCGAACCCGGUAUACCACC
rnacentral:tRNA from 1 species